GACGAACGCUGGCGGCGUGCCUAAUACAUGCAAGUCGAGCGGAGCUGAUGAGGUGCUUGCACCUCUGAUGCUUAGCGGCGGACGGGUGAGUAACACGUAGGUAACCUGCCUGUAAGACUGGGAUAACCCACGGAAACGUGAGCUAAUACCAGAUAGGCGAAACUCUCGCAUGGGAGAUUCGAGAAAGGCGGAGCAAUCUGCCACUUACAGAUGGACCUGCGGCGCAUUAGCUAGUUGGUAGGGUAACGGCCUACCAAGGCGACGAUGCGUAGCCGACCUGAGAGGGUGAUCGGCCACACUGGGACUGAGACACGGCCCAGACUCCUACGGGAGGCAGCAGUAGGGAAUCUUCCGCAAUGGGCGAAAGCCUGACGGAGCAACGCCGCGUGAGUGAUGAAGGCCUUCGGGUCGUAAAGCUCUGUUGCCAAGGAAGAACAGCCGAGAGAGUAACUGCUCUCGGAAUGACGGUACUUGAGAAGAAAGCCCCGGCUAACUACGUGCCAGCAGCCGCCGUAACAC
rnacentral:rRNA from 1 species